rnacentral:misc_RNA from 1 species
UUGAUUUUGAUCAUAAAUUUAAUGUAUAUGUUGAUCUAUGAACAAUAUAUGGUCUCUUCAUGUCAAAUUAUUGGUUGAAAAAAUCAACUAUUAUCAAUGCACACCAAAUGUCAGAAAAUAUUUUCCAGUUGUUUUAAUAUCACAACCGAUAAAGAAAAAACAUAAAAAAAUUUGUUUUACCAGAAAUUUUUUUACUGCUGAAAGUAUUUUCCAUGGAGUUUAUUUUCCAUGAAACAAUAGGAGCCUUAGUAUUGAAUUCCAGACUAGCUGCAAAAUCUCAAAAGUUGUCACUGGAAAUACUAUUACAAAAAUUGUUUCUGAAACAAUUCAUUGAAAUUUCUCCCCCUUGAAGGUAAGUUCUAAAUGCUGCAAAUUUUUUUUUAUUAUUUUUGAAGUAUCAGUUGAUUAAAAAAAAUUCCUUCCUAUUCUCCUUGUCUCUUAUUAUUUUUUGUAAUGCUGAGGCAUUUAUUAUGGCAAAUUUUGGAAGUUAUGGAAUUCCUUUGUGCUUUGAAAAUUUUGAAAAACAUUUAAAAAUUUCUCCUCCCAUUUUGUUGCUCUCAUUAUCAAUAACAUAACUUGAAGUUACCAAAAUGCAGAAUAACAUCAACACAAAAAUGAUUUUUUUUCUUGGUGGUAUAUGAUAACAGGAAAUAUCAGUGGAUUAGUUUCCCAAGUGCUGCAUGUUUUUCUUAAUCCAUUAUAUCUAAUUAUGUUCUCUGCACUAUGCUUUUCGAAGUACAACUGAGAGCACUAUACUAAUCAGUAUUUUCUUCAUCCAUUAUGGCUAAUUAAAAAGUGUGUCCUAGUGUUUAGAUUUCUCAAGUUCAAAUCUUGAUUUCCGGUGGAAGUACUUUUUUCUCAAAGUUAGAAACCUCAUUCAUGCUUAAUCAGUUUGUCCCAUGUAAAUUGAAUGAUUUUGAGCAACAUUUCUCAUUAAUUGGUUAUCAUGGAAUUAAAUUUGUGGAUAGUGUUUUUGGAGUUGCAUCUAACAUUGAUCAAAUGAAAAAGGGGGGAAAAAGAAUUGCCCAAUAGUAAAUGUGAAACUAGCUGGGAGACCUAUUUAGUUGAUGCAGAGCUCAGGCCACUUUCAGAACACAAUUCAUGUUAGAUUUUGGUAAGGAUUCUGUCUGCUUUAGAAUGUGGCAUUGGGGCCGCAAAAGACCAUGCUUUGGCAUAAAACAUAACCUUAUAGCCAAAUAUUGGAAAGAGUUCUUCUAAACAACCAAAAGUAGGUGGAUUAUACUCCUGUUGAAUCACAGGAGCUCCUGAACUACAUCAAUUUGCUUGGUUUGACAUUGGAUCACCCAAAUGUUCCUAGUAAAAAUAUUUGCAGUGUUGUUGUAGGCAUUUGCUGUAAGAAAUUUAGUGAGCCCUUCUUCUGAUGUGAUGUCAAGCUGCUAAAAAUCUCCAUUUCACUGCUUGGUUCAGCUCUUUUGUUCUAUGGUUUUUUGUUGUAAAAAGUAUUUUCUAAACAUUUCUGGAUAUUAAGUUUUAAAAAAAA